AUUCAUAAUAUAAUUUGUUGUUGUUUGAAUCAGUGACAGUUUGCAUACAUUCUGAGGACUCCCGUGAACCAGUAGCAGGUGUUGCUGCUGCUGUCAGCAGCCUGUCUGUCACUCUGCCACGCUGUGAUUGAGACAUCAACCUAAUCCAUGUUUACACUGUGCUGCAUGUGUCAUGUCUAGCUGUUAACCACACAGAAUUAGGCUGUGUUUGACAUCUCCUGCAACCCGCCACUUGAACCCAUCAUCGACUUCGGUCUCAAAGUGCAACUCCCGUGCUUUGUAAGCUGCUACUGCCUGGUCAAAAAACAAAAACAAAGCAGAGGGCUAUGAAGAGAUUGGUGGUUGUGUAGAAGGAGAGACGGCGGAUGGCGAUUGUUAUAACAGCUGCUCGUGGUACAAGUGAUCGAUUCGCACGUUGACAGAGUGUGUUGGAGCAGAAGAAAGAGGGAAGGGUGUCACAGAGAUGGCGCAUUAAAAGGCAUCAGAGAUAACCAGCUACAGUCAUCCAUAAGAAUAUAAACAAAUUCAGUCCAAGGAGAGGGAUCCUCCAGACAAUUGCUCUGAAAGUUUACGUUCCACUUCUGGAGUCCUGCUUCAAAUAUGACCCUUUUGGGGGUUUCUGAACUUUUGUUUGGGCAAGGAAAAGACAGUAUGAAGGGUUUUGAGUGCAGGGAUGCUGCACAAAAAGGGAAUAAUUUGUUAUUGUUAUUGGUAACCCUAAGGAAAUUGAGAUAAAAGAAGGUAGUGACUCCAAAACUAGAAAAAAGUAGUAUGUAAACACGAAUCACUAGAAUUGCUUCUCCUUGGAACAUGAUAUAAGCCAGAUAUGGUUCAGUUUGUUCAAGUUAGAGAAAAAGGCCAAAACAAGAUGGGAAUAAAAUAGGAAAAAGUAAAGAUUCAUACAAGGAAUGUGUCAAUUUCUUAAAUUUGUCCCCAACAUCUCUACUGCAACGUUUUAAACUGAAAAUACAAGCGCAGACAGAUUAUCGAUAAUCGAAAAAAAAUUUACAUUUAAAUUUAAAGGAUACUGUAGCUUUUUUAGACAAGAAAAACAAAAAAAGGUCCAAAAAUUCAAUGGUUUAAAAAACUAAAAGAAGAGGAAUUGAAUGCUGAUAUCAAUUGAAAAUGCAUGGAAAACAUGCAAGUUCCUUUAUAAGCACAAACUCAGAUAUGAGGAAGCUAUUUUAACAACAAGAGGGAAAUUAAGUUUUUCUUUUAUUAAUAAACAAGCAAUUAUGAAGACAUUAAUGCAUAAACAAUAAUUACUCAGCAGGAUCCUAAAAUGUUCUUUUCUUUUUUACUCCCCUACAAAGCGAUUUAAUGUACUCAUUGUGUGAAGCCAGAUUCUAUGCAGAAUGUGUCCUUGUUUAUAUGGUUUGACUAUGUGCCAGCAUCUCCUAAUUGUCCUCCCUGAAUUCUGCAACUUUGUCUCUUGUCAUUACAGUGCCACUGAAGUCCUAAUGAGUGGAAUUGUUAUCUGAAAGAUGGUCCCCUUUUUCCCUGCUGUGAAAGCACAUUAGAUCCAGACAGCUCAUUUCCAUUCCCCCUGUCAUCUCUCUAGAAAUGACGUGCAGUGCUUGAAACUGUUUAUUUCCAAAUUCAGACCUCCUCCGCGGCAGCCAUUGGCUUCAAUUACCAGUUUUUCCUGAGCGGAGCCAUCAGGCAGCCUGACACUGAGGUCCAACCUAAUUCCCACCUUCUCCAAAGUCAAGAGCAUAAUGUGCAGAUAAAAAAGGUGGAAAAUAGCCUGCCGCUCAUUAGCAUGCAGCGCUUGCCUGUUCAUUUGCUUGCUGCGAAUGAAAGUUCUGACACUCAACGCCUUGUGCAAUGCGAGAAUAGUCCUCUUCAAACUGCGUCGUGUCCUUACUGCCACGGAAAGGUCAUCGUCAUAGGUGCACGAUCACCAACCUGGCUCAAUGCUCUUCAUUCGCACACCUGAGAAAAGGGGGUUAGCGGAGGGUAUUGAUUCAGGGAAGACCUCAUUACCUGCUGAAUCAACAUAUUAUUGCCAUGUUUCACCCAGUCGAAUUGUUUACAAGUGUCUUUAGCACGGGCAAAAGCCUGCUCUGGUGGGCCGUGACCGCUUUCAUUAUUCCCUGACCCAGGUGAUUAUCUGUUAUCUGAUAGGGUGCUAUCUGACUUGGCCACAUGAGCAGGGGUAGUGAACUGCCUUGGCCUGUGCCCAUUACAAACCUGACUCUUUUUUUGCUUUCUGUUAUUCUCUCCCUAUCCUGCUCAAUCACUCUUUGCCUCUCUCAGUGCUCCCUAUGAAUGUAUCCAUUAGCCUGGUGAUGUGUAAAUUGUUUUCACCUGCACAGCAAGCAGAUGGGGAGCAGUGUCUCUGUCGUGAUUUCCUAUGCAUGAGCUUUCUAAUCAGCCAGAGAGUAAGACGAUUCCCUUGCUACUCGCUUGAAAAAGGUGAACUUGCAUGAGCAUGCAUGCAUACAUUACACACACGUCUUCUCACUCCCGAUUUGCAAUCAAUAUGCAUGCUGUGUUGUGGGGAUGUUGGCACAAAGAUGGUGGUCACAGGGUUCAUGACACAAGCUCAACACACAACACUACGACAGAUUAUUACUGUGGAAAGGGCCAGAACACGAGUUGAUCCUUGCCCCCUGACAUUCCCAAUUUCAUUUAAAAUUGAAGGAUAUUUUGACCUGGAA